GAACGAAGGCUUCGGCCUUAGUGGCGCACGGGUGCGUAACGCGUGGGAAUCUGCCCUUGGGUUCGGGAUAACAGCGGGAAACUGCUGCUAAUACCGGAUGACGACGUCAGUCCAAAGAUUUAUCGCCCAGGGGAUGAGCCCGCGUAGGAUUAGCUAGUUGGUGGGGUAAAGGCCUACCAAGGCGACGAUCCUUAGCUGGUCUGAGAGGAUGAUCAGCCACACUGGGACUGAGACACGGCCCAGACUCCUACGGGAGGCAGCAGUGGGGAAUAUUGGACAAUGGGCGAUCGCCUGAUCCAGCAAUGCCGCGUGAGUGAUGAAGGCCUUAGGGUUGUAAAGCUCUUUUACCCGGGAAGAUAAUGACGGUACCGGGAGAAUAAGCCCCGGCUAACUCCGUG
rnacentral:rRNA from 1 species